rnacentral:lncRNA from 1 species
UCACUGCCAUGGAUGUCAAAAUAUCACCUGCAGAAGGGACCAAGGUGCCAGCGAAUGGCAUUGGUGCAAAGGAAAAAUCUCAUGUAUUUGGGGAGACAGGAGGAACAUCUAAAGGCAGAAAGCAAAAUGCAAAGGACAUCAGUAAAACACCUUAGUCUACAGGAAUUCCAGGGUCUUCUCGAAUUCUUGUUUGAAUCACAGUAGGAAAAAUCAACAACAAAAAAAACAAAGGGCACAGCCUUUGUCAAUGGCCUGAGACACCUCUCCCUCUCUGCAGCACAAGACAAACAGACAGGAGAAGCUGCAGACACUCUCAUGGGGUCACACAGCCACCAGCAAUUGCAGAGAUGUCUCAGCGAGGUGGGCAUGGCAGAGUCCCAGCACUCCAUAUGCAGCAUUUACAAACAGCAGCUCAGAACGAGAGGCCUGGCAUCACAGCAUACCAGAAAGGGUGAGAAGCACCUGCAGAGAUCCUACCCUGCACAGCAGUCUGCCAGCACCAAGCACGCUCCCGUGCAGCUGGAGCCCGUGCUGCCCCAUGAGCUGAGCACAGGCAGAAGGAUGGCCCUGGGCACGUCUGCAGCAGCACAGCCAAGUCAUUAUAAAUCACAGAGCCAUUAUCAGGGGUAAAAUUAGCUCCCGUUACUGACAGCAUCUAUCACUCAUCCCUACGCUAAUCUAUACCAGGGGAAGGAUUUACAAGAAACAACGAUGAAAGAGGGGAAAAAAAAUCAAAGCGAUGCAGAGAAGAAAAAAAAAGUAAUCAAAGCAAAGAUAACAAAAGCAUUUGCAAGGCUGCAAGAAACAAACUACAUUAUAUUAUGGGGACCGAGGGAUUCUUAUCAUGGCCAGAUAAGAUUUUCAUUCAACAUGUUGAGAAAUUUUUUUAAACUGCUGAAGAAGAUUCAAAUUCCUUGCCAGGCACCUCCAGCUCUGUUAAGGAUUCCUUGUAGCCAUGCACCAUCACAGCAGCUUGGCUCAGUAGAAAUCCUGAGGAAGCACUCAAUGAGAAAGGCAUCAAAAGAAAAGAAAUAUUAUAGGAAACUGACUGAACAGCAGAGUCCCCACGUUUCUCUCCCUCCCCUCAAAGGCUCCAACAUCGCUCUCAAAACACCGCUGCAACGAGCAGGAGGAAAUUACCCAUUUGCUAAGAGAAACUAUAUGGAUGCAUAUGUGCUUUGGGAAGGCUCAUUUGCAUUUCUGGGCCUCAGAGUGCCCCUAAUACAAUUUACAGUGGGUUGUGAAGAUUGCCAUCCCAGUUAA